AGAUGAAGGAAACACCCCGCCGCUCGCGGGAGACCGCGGGCGACACCCCGUCGACGGAUCCCCAUCGUCGACACGGCAGUGCCCUCGCGCACAACACCGUCGGAGCCACUGGCCCCGGCACCCUUCGCCGCUCGUC
rnacentral:ncRNA from 1 species